CAUGCCGUAAACGAUGAGUGCUAGGUGUUGGAGGGUUUCCGCCCUUCAGUGCCGCAGCUAACGCAUUAAGCACUCCGCCUGGGGAGUACGACCGCAAGGUUGAAACUCAAAGGAAUUGACGGGGGCCCGCACAAGCGGUGGAGCAUGUGGUUUAAUUCGAAGCUACGCGAAGAACCUUACCAGGUCUUGACAUCUUCUGCCAAUCUUAGAGAUAAGACGUUCCCUUCGGGGACAGAAUGACAGGUGG
rnacentral:rRNA from 1 species